CAGUGCAAGCUGGAAAAUCUAAGCAUUACAAUGAAGCAAACCAUCUUCGUGUUCGUUUUCUUUGUGUUGGCUCUGGUCUUGCUGAUGGCGGAAUCGAAGCAUAUGAGUCCCGAGGAAGUCUUGACAAGAAUGCGCAGAGAUUGCCUUUGUUACCAGCCCCCCUGCCCCUGUGAUUUCAGGGGAUAAGGAUAAGUCCGAUUUGCGAAGCUGAGCCUCGCCCGGGUUGUGAGGGGAGCCCGGCCUGUGUCGACUAAUGCCAACUCGCUAAUGUGUGUCAGCUGGUGCUGACUCGGCUUAGUCCUUACUCGCCGUGGUGCCCAGCCACAGUAGUAACCCCCAGGCGACAAUUGCAAUCUCUCGCGCCUGGGCGGGGCGCGAACCGCCGACCCCUUGGAUGAAAGGCCGACACGUUACCAUUAUACUAGCCUGGAAGCUGACUUCAUGGGCCCUUAUCCUUUCUGAUACCCUCUUCGCCUGAAGUCCUGACAUCACCCUGGCCAAGAAUCGAGUCAGCAAAUCAGUAGGUUUUCAACACGACUGAAGAAGGAUAAUGAGGAUAUACACACACACACAUAUAUAUAUAUGUAAAUAUAUAUGUGUGUGUGGACAAGGCUUUGUAACAAGUACAGGAAGCAUAUCGCACACACGCACAUACACAUAUACAAUGCACACACCCACACUCACAUAUACACA